CCUGCAGACACUCGGCCCUUAAUAGAAUAGGUUUGACACAUGUGCCCUAUAUAGUGCACUUCUGGUCAAAAGUAGGGCACUAUAGAGGGCAUAGGGUGCCAUUUGGCAUGAAGCCCUAAAGGGAUUAUAUUUUCACUUCUCUUUCUCAGAGUUGGAAAUCAAGAUUGACUUUAUAACUUCCACUUCCACUGUACUGAUUGACAUACAGAAGUACACCUUCUCACUUUAAUAUAAUUAAAAAGUCCAGAGUGUGUAACAGGUCUCCUUCUAUCCAUUGCUUCCAGCCACGAUUGGCCUUCUCUCCCGUCUGCACAGCCACCAACUUGUCUCCAUCCCAGAUAUGCACGCACACGGACCACACAAGUGGAUACAACACCGCCAGAAUGUCUUUCUCCAACCAUCCACCAUUCCCUGCAUCAAGGCCAUCUGUGUAUGUAUGGUGGGUGGGCCAGUUUUUAUCAUUGCAGUGUGAUACAAAAAGAGGUAUCGGUGUGCUUUAGGACCAUGCGGACGCCUCAGAUUGGUCGUGUAGGCUGUUUGGCAGUUUCAGCUGGCUGGAUUUAGGACCGCUUCUGCAGAGCAUGGGGACAGGCUGUGUGAAGGCAAAGCUUCUGAAAGGCUGGCGUAUUGGACCAGCACGGGAGAGAUGAACAGAGGCAGCUGCUGUCUGUGUGUGUUGCACUUUUUCUCUGAGUUGUAAAGCAAGCAGAGCAGAAACUGGCUACUACUAACUGGCUUCACUGAUGCAAGGUAACUGCUGUUUGACUUAGCUAACAUUAAAAAAUAAAGCAUCUAAUGUUAA